rnacentral:rRNA from 1 species
GACGAACGCUGGCGGCGUGCUUAACACAUGCAAGUCGAACGAUGAAGCGGUGCUUGCACCGUGGAUUAGUGGCGAACGGGUGAGUAAUACGUGAGUGACCUACCUUUGACUCUGGGAUAAGCCUGGGAAACUGGGUCUAAUACCGGAUACGACCAAUCUCUGCAUGGGGUGUUGGUGGAAAGCGUUAUGGAGUGGUUUUAGAUGGGCUCACGGCCUAUCAGCUUGUUGGUGAGGUAAUGGCUUACCAAAGCGACGACGGGUAGCCGGCCUGAGAGGGUGACCGGCCACACUGGGACUGAGACACGGCCCAGACUCCUACGGGAGGCAGCAGUGGGGAAUAUUGCACAAUGGGCGCAAGCCUGAUGCAGCGACGCCGCGUGAGGGAUGACGGCCUUCGGGUUGUAAACCUCUGUUAGCAUCGAAGAAGCGAAAGUGACGGUAGGUGCAGAGAAAGCGCCGGCUAACUACGUG